UGGGGAAUAUUGCACAAUGGGCGCAAGCCUGAUGCAGCAACGCCGCGUGAGGGAUGACGGCCUUCGGGUUGUAAACCUCUUUUAGCAGGGAAGAAGCGAAAGUGACGGUACCUGCAGAAAAAGCACCGGCUAACUACGUGCCAGCAGCCGCGGUAAUACGUAGGGUGCAAGCGUUGUCCGGAAUUAUUGGGCGUAAAGAGCUCGUAGGCGGUCUGUCGCGUCUGCUGUGAAAUCCCGAGGCUCAACCUCGGGCCUGCAGUGGGUACGGGCAGACUAGAGUGCGGUAGGGGAGAAUGGAACUCCUGGUGUAGCGGUGGAAUGCGCAGAUAUCAGGAAGAACACCGAUGGCGAAGGCAGUUCUCUGGGCCGUAACUGACGCUGAGGAGCGAAAGCGUGGGGAGCGAACAGGAUUAGAUACCCUGGUAGUCCACGCCGUAAACGUUGGGCGCUAGAUGUGGGGACCAUUCCACGGUUUCCGUGUCGCAGCUAACGCAUUAAGCGCCCGCCUGGGGAGUACGGCCGCAAGGCUAAAACUU
rnacentral:rRNA from 1 species